rfam:Triticum urartu cultivar G1812 contig297197, whole genome shotgun sequence.
CAAGUACUCCCUCCGUCCGGAAUUACUUGUCAUCAAAAUGGAUGUGUCUAGAACUAAAAUACAUCUAGAUACAUCCAUUUCAAUGACAAGUAUGAAGUAAAAGUAUUUUCGGACGGAGGGAGUACAAG